ensembl:lncRNA
CAGUGUGUAUUACAGUGUGUGUGUAGUACAGUGUGUAUUACAGUGUGUGUGUAGUACAGUGUGUAUAGUACAGUGUGUAUUACAGUGUGUGUGUAGUACAGUGUGUAUAGUACAGUGUGUAUAGUACAGUGUGUAUUACAGUGUGUGUAUUACAGUGUGUGUAGUACAGUGUGUAUAGUACAGUGUGUAUUACAGUGUGUGUAGUACAGUGUGUAUAGUACAGUGUGUAUUACAGUGUGUGUAUUCAGUUGUGUAUUACAGUGUGUGUAUUACAGUGUGUGUAGUACAGUGUGUAUUACAGUGUGUGUAGUACAGUGUGUAUAGUACAGUGUGU